rnacentral:lncRNA from 1 species
ACUAAUCAUAUUUCUAAAUAAACCAAUAAACUUACACAGAAUGGAAGAUAGAUGGAAACUUGGCAGACGAUUACUUCAUAAAAUCACGAAAAUUAAAACACCUUAUAUUAUAAUUGAACGCGCUUGCAAAAAGAAAAUAGAAUCGAUUCCAUUACGGCAAAACACGAAACAUCAACGUAAUUACAUUUCAACGCGCGUUACAGUUAAUUCGAUCCUUAAACAUUGCACAAUCCAUUCUCGGCCAGUCACAUCGUAACACGUCAUGUUUGCUCCGCGAAGGGAGGGGGCGUUGGUCAUUAUCGGGGGAUAUAAAAACCGCGUGGUAAUGGAAUGUAGCGUGCCCCGUGGAUCGUCAAAGAUCGCAAUGUACCACGGCCGUUCGCGUGGGAGGAGUAGUUUAGAUUGGCCGGGUCGUGUGUACACAGGUAGCUGUAUUGUGCCAGGUCAUAACGGUUGGAUAACGGUUGCGUGGCAAAGCAACGUGGAUACCGCGUCGUGCUGUUGGUCGUGUCGUGUGUCAUCGGCGAAGGAAGCCCGCUGUUUACAAAAGCUUGCGAACACCGCCGCCGUGUUCGAUGGCCGGGAGCUUGAACGGUUUCUAGAUUAUUCUAUUAAGGCGAUCGAUCAUCGGCGGCCGAGGGUUGAGCCGCCACCAUCUUUAAACGGUGGCGGACUUCGCUUUCGCACGCUCGCGUUGUCAAUAAACUCUUGUACAGAGUGGGAAGAUAGAUUCGAUGGAAACUUGGCAGACAAUUACUUCAUAAUAGAAUCACGCAGAAUUUAAAUUCUGGUCUCCCCUCGAGGGUCCUCCUCCAACUCGAGGAAGAUGGUCGUCACGCGAGAGAAGGCGUUACCACUGUUUUGCCAUCGCACGUAUUGUCAACCCUUGGCUGGGUUUUGGGGCGGUGCCACGUGGAUUCUCGUGCGGUUGAUACCGGUGGGGUGGAAGCAGUCACAUCAAAAGGACCGAAUAGUUGUUUCUCUCUCUCCAGCUGAGGCUUGGCGCGAGCCUUCUAUUGAUGGAAUCCGCGGCAGCUGCAUCUCUAAUUUGGUGAAUGAAAACCAAGACCCCCGUCGCACAUUGUCGGGAUAACAAGAAAUCCGAAAUUUGCACAGCGGAUGCCUUUUCCCCUCUUUGGGUUGCUCCUCUUUGAUCCCUGCGACGGGGUAACUUUUUUUUUUUUUUUUUUUUGAAAAGGUCCAAAGAACGUCCAGAUCGAGUUGAUUAGAGCAUUACGAGGGAUCGUAAUGCUGGAAUUUGAGGAGAGUGAUUCUUGUCGUUACGGUCUCGUGGAUCUUUUAAUUCCUAAAUUAUUCUUUUUAUUCGAUCAUCGAGCAUUGUGAUUUGUUUCUUCACUCUGCUGUGAAAUGGUCCUUGAAUUUUUAAGAAAAAUGACCGUAUUAUCUUGAUAAGUAAAAGAAAUAAAAAUGGAGAUUUACGAUAAAAAUGUAGGUUAAUAGCUGCUACGUGUUUCUAAUUAUAUACGUGGAAGGAUCAAAUAUAAUAUAUUCUAAUACAGCUACGAUAAGGAUUUAAUUUUUAAAAGAAAAAGAAGAAGAAGAAAAUUGGAAAUUAAUAAUUAUUCUUAUGCUUGAAUAUUUUCUGCGCGUAACGUUAACAAAGAUCAAAUCGACAUUAGCAAAGAUCGAUCGAUUCGAAUGAUAUUUAAUUCUGUUUGUACCAAGAAAGAAUUAUACGUAAUAUUUUUAUUCCCUUUCUCGUCCCAUAUUUCCGUGGCCAACAUAUGAGUCGCGUUACGAACAAAAAUAAAUCCAAUCCCUUCCGUUAACCAUUCCGUUUCGGUAUUGCAUUUGAAAAUUUAUGAUCGCCGAUCGAAGACCCAACCACGUCAUAAAAUUUUACAUAAAACGAACGUUCGAUUAUCAACGAGACGGUCGUUUAUCUGUUUGUACCGAUUCUCGACAAAAUGUCACGAGAUAGUUAAAAAUCGGAUCCAGCAGCAUUUUCUUUUACUGUCAAACAUGAUGUGCAAUCAAUCAUACGUCGAAUUUUUGUUAUCGCUGACGAUAAAAGAAGCAAUAAAGUCAUUUACGAUAAAUUGCAGAGAAAGAAAAUUCCAGUUACAACUGGAAACAAAUAAUUAAACGUAAGAAAUUAUUAAACGAAUUCUUUAUUUUCGAGAUGUAUUCGUUGCUCGAAUCGGGGGAGAAAAGGCUACGCGUAAUGAGAAUAAAAACAGAAAGGAAGAAGAAAGGUUUCUCUGAAGCAGAAUUCCAGUUACUGCAUCCGCUGAAAAUAGAACGUAACAUACGUAUUCCAUAAAAGAGGGAAUUGGCCGUACGAACGAUCCUCCUUCGUCAACGCCAUUUUGCCGGGGCGCUUUCGAGGAAUGUUUCCCCGAAACUUGGAACGUCCCAAAGGAUUCGAAUCGCAAAGAAAGCCUUCCGUUUCUCUUCUGGAUUUUUCGAUAAAGCUCCCAAAACGACUGGCUAUUUGGUAGAAAACGAAUCGCGCGAGAGAAUCGGCAAAAGGAAACACCCAUCUCUUCCCCAUUCUUAUUUUUCUUCUUUUUUAUUUUUUUUUUAGAAGGAAAACCUCUUCCGCCGAUAGCUGCGUAUUCUUUGGAUUACACAUUGGUUUCGAAUGGAAUGUUUGAAGAACAGGGGGUGAGAAUUCGUUCGAUGGAAGAAGAAGAAGGAUGAUUAGAGGGACGGAGGAUUCUGGAUGAUUGAUGGCGAAAGAUAUCACGUGCCAUUAUGUUUGCAUUACUGCGCCAAUUACACGUGCAUUUUCCACGCCAGAUUUCCUCAGAUCUAAACACGUGAAGAUAAUGCAACGUUGAAUACUAGUUUAAUGGACUCUCAGUUGUCUGAAAAGAAACGUUUAUUUGUCUAUAAAUUAUAUUUUAGGAAGACGGUGUUUCGCGUGACUGUUCGAGGCAGCGACAGACACGAAAUAUUAUAAAUAGAUUUCGAGAUUGAGAGGCUACGUUUGAACUGUCUCUCUUUUAACCAAGUAUUUCGAGACACGAAAUCACGAUAUAUUAGAGCAGGAUCGAGAAUAGAAUCGAAUGGAGGAGGAUUGAUCAAAGUGGGAUUUUGGAAUUUUAUGAGCAUUCCAAUAGGAUUUCUAUCUUUGAGGAUUUCAUCCCCUUUCAACGAGAUAUUUAUACGAGAAAUUUUCAAAGAUUUCUAAGCGUUUUGGGAAAAAAUUUUGCCAAAAAAAAUUCCAACACUGUUAUAUAAAAUAACAUUCGAAAACUUGUUGAAUUCAUUUGAAAUAAAUAUUCGAAUAACGUGAAUUCUUUGAAUAACUGACGAAAAAAAAUGUAUGGAGAAGAUUUUAAAAAAAGAAACAAUCGUUCCAUUACAAUAACGAUACGGUCAAUCAAACUGUAAAACACCUCUCAGAUAAUUCUCUCUAUCACAAACGUCGUUAAUCGUUUAUCAGUCCAUCUUUUCAAUUGUCGUUCCCUUAAUAAUAAUAUAUCAAAGAAUAGAUGUGGGAAAUUGAACAAAGUUUAUCAAAAGUUGCGGACGAACGUGGAUUCGAUUCGAACGGCGCGAUCAAUCAAGAUGCGGAAUGGCGUGAGUGCACUCCGGGGACAGAAGUACUAGGAGGCUAAGGGAAUCGACGACAACGAGGACGUCGACGAGGAAGGGUCGGCCGUGUCAACGGCAAAGCCAACCGUGACGUGGCCUGGGAAAGCUUACGUUGAUCCUUUCACGUUGAGAAAUCACGGAUGCGCGGAUUGGCUAAUGAAAAUUUACCUAUCUUUCCAAAGGAUAAAGAAUUAAUUCUGGAUUUGAUUAAUUUUCGGAUGGACGAUGUUAAAUUUAAUCUUAAUGAUUCUCAAAUGUUUGAUAAUUAAGGUAAGUUGAUACGAUUGAUGGAUGUAUGACAAAGUUUUUUUUUUUUUGGAUGUAGAGAGAAAAUAGAAAAUAGAGAAAGAUUCAGAGAUUUGCAUUCGAGCUUUGAAAAUGGUUCAAGAUCCUUCGAAGCAUGAUUUAUCUAAGCAUAUCGUAUCCAGCACAAGGAUCGUGAUCCCUAAUCUGAAGGAUCUGUGCGAAUUAAUCCGAAAAUGCAUUCCAAAUGGUGAGCAAACGUUAUGAUAUUAACGUGUUCACUAACAUUUCUGAAUAAUUCAUCACGUGGUCAGGCAUCUUUCGAGCGGAAUCCCUCUCUCUUUCUCUCUCUCUCUCUCUAAGAUGAAUUGAAGUUCAGAGAUUAUACGUGAAGCAUGUGCCCACUGGCGAACAUAUAUUUUGACGAUUAUUAAAACAUUCCAUUAGUAAUAACCUCAAGCACGUAAGAAUAUCUUGCAUAAAUUGUUAUAUAAAAUAAUAAUUUUAUUAUCAAAACU